rnacentral:rRNA from 1 species
GACGUAGGAUGCAAGCGUUGUCCGGAAUUAUUGGGCGUAAAGAGUUCGUAGGCGGUUGCCUAAGUCUGGUGUUAAAUACUGGAGCUCAACUCCGGCAUGGCAUUGGAAACUGGGCAGCUAGAGUGCGGUAGAGGUCACGGGAAUUCCAGGUGUAGCGGUGAAAUGCGUAGAUAUCUGGAGGAACACCAGUGGCGAAAGCGUGUGACUGGGCCGCAACUGACGCUGAGGAACGAAAGCCAGGGGAGCGAAAGGG